AUUGAUUUGAUGAAACUAAUUUAGUAUUAUAAAUAUUACUAUAUUUGUCUAAAAACUUAAUUAAAUUUGAAACAGUUUAAUUUUGACCAAAAUCAAAACGUCUUAUAACCUGAAACGGAGGGAUUAGAUAGCUACCUGCCAGGUUCAUCGACCACUCGUGACAUGCAUGGAUGUGUCCAUGGCGCAUAUAUACAGUAUGUAGCAGCAAGGGCAGGCAUGAGCACAAGAGCAUGCAUGCGUUGAGAGGAUAAGCAGAUGGAGCCGGCAGUACGUAUAGCCGUCUCGCCACAUGGAUGGACGUGAUAUUCUCUGCUUGGCGAGCUCGCCAUUCGAGACAUUCUCGGCGCUGUUUGAUCACUUCAUACGCGCUCCGGGCCUAAAGAGCUCCAAGAGAUGCUGCAUGCUGUCUUGUUCACAAGAGUUUGUAUCACGAGAGCAUAGUAGAGCCCUCCAGCUCGUGCUCCCUAAAGAAAUGGCACGCAUGGCUUGUUCGCUUCUUCCUGGUUUGCAAUUGGUGUUCUUGUUGCAUAUGCUAACUGCUACCCCUCUUGAUUUGUCCCAAAAGAUAAGCCAGAAUAACGUGAAUGGCCAAUUGUCCUCCAGUCCAGUUCCUUGUCCUCGCCUCUCAUUGGCUCAUUUCCAUGGUUAUUGGAGCCAUGCAUGCAAGAAUUCUUUGGUUUUGUUUCUUGGUACACCUGCCAGCUCAUUGGAUUCCUGACUAUCCUUUACACCACCAAUUGGUAUAUGUGGGAAUAACAUUUGCUAAUUAAGGCAUGCUAAGGUUGUGUUAACUCUUUCAUUAUAAUAAUAUAUACUAGUAUGCUCAAUAUCAACUAUAAUACUACUAUACUCCAACUAGUAUUCUCAAGAUCAGCUGUUCCGCAUCAACUACUUUAUUCCUUUUUUAAUAGAUGAUACCGUAAAUUUUUGGCAUGAAGUUUAACCAUUCGUCUUAUUCAAAAUAUUUAUAUAAGUAUCAUUUAUUUUGUUUUGAAUUAUUUUAUCAUUAAAGAAAAUUGUAAACAUAACUUAUAUUCUUGCAUAAUUACACUAAAUUUUAAUAAGACGAAUGCUAAACGUUAUGCUAAAAGUUAAUAAUGUUAUCUAUAUUUAUAAACGGAAGUAGUACGCAGUUUUUUAGUACGGCCUCGACCAUAGAUCGAGUUAGUGUUUUCUUAGUAGUGGCAAGGUUCAGAGAAAUCAUAUAAUGAGAGGUAAAGGAAGUUAAUCAUGGUCACAUGUUUUCACAUUUUUCUGCACUUAACAGCUGAAUUUUCAGUUAUUCCCAACUUCUUAUCUCUUCUUAUAAUGUGAGAUAAGUACUCUCAUUGGUUUCACCAUCUACGCAGGCAGGGAAAGGGCAAACAUAUAUGAGCUUACUAUGGUCAUCAUAUCAGUAGUACAAUGAACGUACAGCUAGCUAGCAUAUCUUACACCUUGCCAAUCUCCAUAUAUGGAUUAUGGACUACCUCAUCAUCUCGGGUAGAUGUCAAUCAAGAGAAGAGUCACGGAAAAUUUGCAACUGAUCGAGCAAGAAGCUAGAUAGGGAAAUGAAAUUCAGCUAGCUGCAGUCCAUAAGCGCGAUAUGAUUGUCCUGAUCAAAA